GGGGUAUUAGUUUAGAUGGGCAAAAUACGGGACUGUCUCUCCUGAGCCGCGAGUUCGAUUCUCGCAUACCUCGCCA
rnacentral:tRNA from 1 species